GACGAGUGGGAAAUGAAACACAGAUGGGUCAGAUGGGUAAGGAGAGGGGGAUUACAGGUCAGGCCAAAGAGUUGGAAUAAAUUAAGUGCUUAUGAGGUACAGAAUGGCACAUUGUUUAAGUGAAUGGACAGGGAAAAAACAUUCCAGCAUUGUUCAUCCGCCGAGGGAGCCCAACGCUCCUCUUCCCAGACGAGCCCAGGCCACAGAGCGCCUCCUCCUCGCCAGGAUGUUUGUGACCCACAGACUGAAAACGCGGCCAGGCGGUGCCCGAAACAUUAUCCUAGCCUCCAAAGAGGCCAGUUUGGCUUUAUUACACGGGAGAUGUAAUUUAUUGGGAGAAAUGUUUGGGUUCGUGUGUCGGAUGGUGGAGAGUCAGAUUUGGAGUUCCCUAGGGAUCUCCGAGGAGAAGAAGCAGAUGUUCACAAAGCAACUGACCAGGCCAGGUGUGUCCUUCAAGGCUACCUGCAUUCAACAGAGGCGACCACAGCCCAGACCCAUCCUUCUUGGGAGAAUUUCAAGAUGCUCCACAUAGUGGUGCCUAGCGCUCUGUGCACUCAGAGGCUAGAAGAAAAGAUACAGAGGUCCUCUUUCAAGGAGAGGCCCUGAUGUUUCUAUUCUUACAAGGAUUCUUUGGUAAUAAAUACAGUGAAAACACCGUCACCGUAGAGAUAAUACUUAAUGCUCAAGAGGUACGUAGCAGAGAUUGCAUUCCAAUCAAGGACUUCCGUAACCCUGUCUACCAAGCCAGUAUCACCUGUAGGCCAGUUCACCUUCAUCCAGUCACUUUACAGCACUUGAGUGUUUGCUGUCCGCUCAAUUAAAAUCCUACUCUGGUGGGAAAAACCAGAUUUCCAAAUGGGGACUUUAUUGAUUCAAUAAAAUUUAAGAAAUUCUGCUUAUGGAAAAACUCAUUAACCCAAACUAAUAAAUACGAGUUUACCCUG
rnacentral:lncRNA from 9 species